rnacentral:lncRNA from 1 species
ACUUAAGUCAUUUCCAAUUUUUCUUAUCACAAACAAUAUUUUAAUUGACAUACUCAUGUACCUAAUCAGGUAAACAGAGUGCAAUUAAAGCACAUGUGAUGGACACUUAACCAGUAUAAGGAAGUGAGCAAAAGGUUCUCAGAAGCUGAAACCUCCAAGAUGAGUCCUCAAAGCUGAGCUCUGAGAAGCCCAUCUGUAAAUGAUGAAGAAAAAGGAUACUAAGAUCAGAGCCAGGACUGGGACUCACAUCAAGUUCACCUACAACCUGUUGACUUACAAGGGGACCAUCUACUCCUACGAGUUCACCAUCCUCCUAUCCUAUAUGGUCCAUACAUUUCUCUCUGAUUUUUGCUACUUUUACAUGUGAUUGUUCAUCUGGACCACUGAGCCGAUUCACAUCAUUCCUUAUACCAACUUGUAUACUCUGUUUCCCUGGAUCCAGGGCUAUCAUUGUCACCUGAGUCUUCACUUCAGUUGUUAGGAUAGGAUUUUAUCCAGAGUAAGUUUAC